GACGGGGGGGGCAAGCGUUGUUCGGAAUUACUGGGCGUAAAGGGCUCGUAGGCGGCCAACUAAGUCAGACGUGAAAUCCCUCGGCUUAACCGGGGAACUGCGUCUGAUACUGGAUGGCUUGAGUUUGGGAGAGGGAUGCGGAAUUCCAGGUGUAGCGGUGAAAUGCGUAGAUAUCAGGAGGAACACCGAUGGCGAAGGCAGGUCUCUGGGCUGACACUGACGCUCAUGCACGAAAGCGUGGGGAGCAAACAGG
rnacentral:rRNA from 1 species